GUUAUUAUAGUUACACACACAAACAUAAUUUAGUAAGAUAUAUAAAACAUUUCUCUCAUGAUUAAAGUUGGUGUUGUGCACGCUAAAGACCUCUGAUAAGUAGACACGGCUGCUCCAAUUCCUUCUGUGUGUGUGCGUGUGCGCAUGCGUGCUCGGAGAGAGCGCACACAUAAACACGACACGCAUUUAACCUCAGCCCGGCGUUCGAUGAAUGAAACUCCGACAAACACGAUGGGACUGAAUUGCCAACGUUGCCAUUAAAGCAGUGUUGGUAAUAUUAGCCUCCAACUUCAUCAACAGCUCCCAAAUUCCAACGGCGGGCGAGCAAAUGAUGAAUACACUUCAAUCAAUUCAAGACAGGCAUUCAUCAUUCAUUUGUCGGACGCUGUGAGCAAUGCCGGGUCUCACUGAGAGCAGCUGGAGAGGAAGCCUCGUCCGUAAUUGAUUUUAAAGUUAAAAGAACGUUGUGGAUCUAGGGGUUUGAAUCAGGAAAAUCCCCAACGGUGGCGAGCGUGGAGCUGGUUGACGCCACUUGACAAUCGGUUCAGCCAAACAGAGGCAAUUAGGAGCUGGGUCGGCCGGUUGGUCAUCCACCAUGAUUGCUUGCAUGCAACCCUGGUAGUAGCGCUGCGAGGGCGGGAACAACGUCUGGAGGAAAUAACCUGAAAGCAGAGCGUAGCCAACCAAUGAAACCAAGGACAUAACGGAUGGAGAACAUCCACAGACGUGAACAUCAUACUCAACAUUAUCCUUGACAUCAGACUACAGACCAGUUUGUUUUCUAUUUUUACAGCCAUGAACUUCUGUUUGUCGUUUUGUUUUCCAGAGUCCAUAAGUCUCAAUGGGAGUUCCCAAGGCUGCAAUGCUCCAAAUGCCAUAUUGGGUUUAAUAUCUAAGGUACCUUUAUGAGAUACAAGAGUCAUUGGGUCAUCCGGAGUUAUAACUGGGUCGUGACUAACACAGGAACAAGGCCAGAACAACCUCUUCGUUGUGGGACUGUGGACCAACUCUACCCUCUGGAUUGGAUCUCUGCUUUUUGGAGACGAUGCGGUUCUGCUGGCUUCACAAAGUCGUGAUGUUCAACUCUUACUGGAUCGGAAGUGGCUGGGAUACCAAUCAACACGUCUAAGUCAGAGUCCAUGGUUCUCGUCUGUAUAAGGGUGGAGUGCCAUCUCUGGAUCGAGGAGUUCAAGCACCUUGGCGUCUUGUUCACAAGUGAGGGAAGACUUGAAGGUGAGUCUGAAGUCUGCAGUGACUGAAUCGGUUUGUUGUGGUGAAGAGGGAGCUGAGCCGAAAGGCAAAUCUUUCAAUCAGUCUAUGUUCCUACUCUCACUUGUGGUCCUGAGUUUUGGGUAGUGACCCUUAGGACAAGAUCAGAGUGAAGUGUCCGAACUGACUUUCCUCCAUUCGGGGGCUGGGCUUUCCCUGAGGGAUAGCUUUGGGUUGUGACUGGAAGGACAAGAUCGCGGGUGCAAGCGGCCGGAAUCAGUUUCCUCCACUGGAGGGCUGGGUAGUCCCUUAGAGAUAACUUUGGGUAGUUACCCAAAAAACAAGAUCCUGGGUACAAUUAGCCAAAAUUGGUUACCACUGGGUCCUCCCUCAAAGACAGGGUUAGGUAGUGACCAAAAGAUUGCGGGUACAAGCACCCGGAAUGGGUGUCCUCCACUGGAGGACUGGGUAGUCCCUUAGAGAUUGGGUAGUGACCAAAAGAACAAGAUCAUGAGUAGCCAAAAUUGGUUAUCGCUGGGUCCUCCCUCGAAGACAGGGUUAGGUUGUGACCAAAAGGACAAGAUCAUGGGUACAAGUGCCUGGAACGGGUUUCCUCCACUGGAGGACUGGGUAGUCCCUUAGAGAUUGGGUAGUAACCAAAAGAACAAGAUUAUGAGUAGCCAAAAAUGGUUACCCCUGGGUCCUCCCUCGAAGACAGGGUUAGGUAGUGACCAAAAGCCAAAAAUCGAGGGUAAAAGGGGCCAAAAUCAGUUUCCUUAUUUUGGGGGGCUGGGCUCUCUCUUAGUGUUGGGGUUGAGUAAUGUCUAGGACCCUGGCUAGGGCAUCUGGUUAAGACGCCCCCUGGUGAGUGAGGUGUUCAGGGGUCCUGAACCAGUAGGACCUAGGACAAAAUCUCUCUUGGCUGGGACCCCGUCAGGAUGUGUUGGGACCAAAGCCUUUUUUCGUCCGACUUUCUCCAAUUACCCUGCCUGUUUUUCGAAUAUGAGAGGCCACUGGAAAACCCAUCCACAAACCAAGUCCCUACAAAAGAUUCCAACCCUCGAUCCCCUGAAGGUAAGGCCACAACAUGCUAACAAAUUCAAUCAUUGCCCGGUCAAACGUGGAGCACCCAUGCUCAAUGACAUCUCCAUCACCUCGAUGUUAUUAACUGUCACACGCUCUACAUGCCAAUCAUUGUCAAGGCUACGUUAUGAAAAGAGCUUAUUAAAGUCGAUAUAUAUGAGAACAAAUGAUGGGACUGUCAAAAUCACCAGUCUUUAUCUACUUACUGGUUAUUUUUAUUCCGUUUGGCAUAAAUACAGAAUCGAACACAAGUCUUUUACGCUGGAUAUUGUGCAGGUGUAUGUUUCUUUCUUAUUCUAAUUUCCAUAUCUUUUUUCAAAACUCGCCAUCUGCUUCCACUCGCAGCUGUCUACCGUCUUCCCGAGGUCGUAGACAGACGUCGAGAAAAGGAGAUGGAUGAACUUUGAAAAACAGAAAGCACUACAGCUGUCUGGGCGGCCACGCUUUGUGUCCUGCAGGUAACGUUCAACAUUAUAUAUUUUUAUAUACUGUAUAUUUAAAAUGCAGGAUAGAAUACAUAGAUAAACGCUGCGAGAACAUGAAAAGAAGGUAGGUGAGUUUGAUGCUUUGCUCACAGCAAAAAAUUCCAAAGUCCUACCGCAUUGGUUCAUAUAACUAAAACAGUAAAUUCACACCAAAAGAAGCAUCAUAGGUUCAUUCUUUACACAAAUAUGACGAAGAAACCACAUAACCCAUCAUGGAUGUCCUAUGGAGACAAACACUAGCCAUAGAUCACCACUGUGCGCUUGGAAACAACAACUAAAAGAAAUGUUGUCAUAAGCUCCAGGGGAUGUUGGACGACAGCACUUAUCCCCUACAGGCUCGCCGCCAUUCUAUCAGGACCUUCAUGUGGUGCCCAUAGUAGCCGCUAUGCUAUACAACACACACACACACACGGCUGUAUAACACGUUUAGUGGAGACAUAAAAGAGAUAAGGGGAAAAUAUUGCAGCAAGGGAAAAAUAAUAAAUGUAAGGAUGGUAAAUGUUCUGAUUGUAUCGACUGGAGAUGUUUUACAUUGCAAUUCAGAUCAGAUAACAGCAGUGGUAGGAUGUAUUAGAAAUGGCAGGGAAUUCAUUUCCUUCUUAUAUUGUCAUUUUUUCAGUCAGUGUGGUCAUAAUACGCUUAUUUAAAAAAAAUUAUGAAAAUUUGCUUUUAUUGUGAAUAAUUAUUUAAAAUUUUGUGAUUGUUCUUUACAAUUUUUUUUCACAAUUAUUUUGCUUUUCAAUGAAAACAUAAUGCAUAA